GAGACGAACUCACACGGUAAACGUUUGCGCAAUUGCASUCUUUGCAAUUCGCAUUUCAACCAGGAAGGACUGAAAGCGAUUACGCACAGCGGUAUUUCGGCAACGUGCAUCUUCAGCUGUAUUUUUAUCCAACAUCAUGGCGAAUAAGUCUGGGAAAGCUAAAUCCAAGACUAGAUAUARCAAUGUAGAGACAAUUUUAGAGGAAAUUGAUUGUGAAAGCGAUACGGAAAUGUUAUCUGAGGAAGAUUCUUUUAGUGAACAUUCGUUUGAUUCUGAAACUGAGGCCUAUUUCUUGAAUGGAGAGGAUAUCGUUUUGGACUGUGGCACUGAUUCCGACUGGGAGCCCCCAGCACCGCCCCCAGCGCCAACUUGUUCAUCCAGCCGGACCCCUGCUGUCUCUGGGCCAUCUACCGGUGUGAAGGCACCGACAAAGAAGCGGAAGAGGGGAAGUGUGCCACCU